CCGUGUUUAAACGUACUUUAAGAUUUUUGUUUGCAUUCUCUUAUUUGUUAUUUUCUCUCGACGCGAGGGUGAACAUAUUUACCGACAGUAAAAUUGCCAUAAGGGCAAUAACAACCAGGACGGUAAGGUCACGAACAGUCUUGCAGUGUAAGAAGGAAAUUAACGCCUUCUCUGAGGAUGGGUGCCCGGCCAUAACGGAGUAAGGGGAAAUGAAAGGGCGAUUUGGCGGUGAAGGCCAGAGGACUGCCGUCAAUAAACUUGUUAACCCGAAGCCUUUUGGGUCGACGCCGAGGGAGUGGGCGACGAAUGCGCAUGCAACAUUGUGGAACAGCGAAACGGUCGGUAGGACGGCGAAAAUCCUAUGGGGGGAUCCAAAUCGUGAGAAGACGAGGCGAUUACUGAAAGAAAGUAAGAAGGAGGUCAGUAUAGCUAUUGGUGUCAUAACGGGACACAUAGGACUACGAGCUCACUUAUGUAAAAUCGGUGCGGCAAGUUAUAACAUAUGUAGGGCAUGCAGGGAAGAUGAUGAGACGUUGGAGCAUUUCCUUUGUCAUUGCCCGGCUUUCGCGUCUAACAGAUAUCGGCACUUAGGUGGAGACACAAUACCAGACAUAAACCAACUUAGGGGUGUGGUAUUGAAAAUAAUUAAGGAUUUUUUUUUAGAGCGCACAACAAGCCGAUUAUUGGCUUAGGUGUAUGUCCAUAGUGGCAUGGGGCGGAUUAAUAUCUUCACCCUCUUUUCAACCUAACUUAACCUGCUAGUAGCUAACAAGCAAGCUACAUCAAUGGUCUUUCGGAUGUUAACUUCUUCAUAUGCUAUGGGCAGCGGAGCCCAUUGCAUAUGAACCUCCGGCUGCUCGGCUGUAGAUGAGAAACCAACCUUCAAUGGCUGCCUAUUUAGAGAUGAAUGGCUACUUUGAAACCAGCCCAGUAGAUACUGCUUAGGUUAUAUCUCUGGAAAUUUGACAAUCCCUACAAUUCGAGUUAUAGGGUUUUGUCAUAUUGCCACAAAACUUUUUUGUUUAUAAAUUUAGGCAAAUGUUAAAAGAAGGUAAUGAUGUUAUCUUUCUAUUAACAUUUAUUAAAUUUAUAAACAAUCUGACUUUUUCACCGGUAUUAAAAAAACUUGAUGAAGAUUUGAAAUAGGUUUAUUUGGCGGAUUUCUUAUAAGUUUUGUGAAUACUGGUGAAAAAGUUUUGUAGGCCACAUAACGCUUUUUUUCGACUGCUUUUAAAAUUUAGAGUUAUCGGGUUUUGUCAUAUUUCCACAGAUAUAUAAUUGUGUCUUCGCGCGGAAAGGUUCCUUUUUCCUGAUGGAGGUGCUCCAUAUUACAACUUUAAAGGGAGAAUCUUUCCCACCUCGGCCUAUGUGUGCUAUAGGACGGUCCUCCUUACCUAUCAAAGACUUUCGAUACAGUCAGCACUGCCACGCCUUUCCAUCUCCAGCUUACCCUUCCUGCCAAACCAGAAUGACACGUUAGAUUUGGAAUUGUUUUUGAGAAAGCCCGUAGAGGAAAAUUGGAGAACAUUAUUCCAAUAUGGGAUAAUAUCUUCGGCACUUAUUAACCUCCAGAAAGCCAUGGAAUCCAUGAAAUCAUGAAAAAUAAAAUCCGUGGAAAUUCUUCAACUUGGCCAAAAGUAGUUGACUGAGGUAAUAACAUCCAUGGUAUUUGAGUGGGGAGAUAUAGCCAAAUUACAAUUGUGCAAUAACUAACAUUUUGUAUUCGAUUAUGAUUUAAAUUUUAUUUAUAAGUUUUAACAAGUGAUAAUGUACAAAUGGGCUUAAUAUGAUACAA